rnacentral:rRNA from 1 species
CCUACGAGCGGCAGCAGUGAGGAAUAUUGGUCAAUGGGCGCGAGCCUGAACCAGCCAAGUAGCGUGAAGGAUGACUGCCCUACGGGUUGUAAACUUCUUUUAUAAAGGAAUAAAGUGAGGCACGUGUGCCUUUUUGUAUGUACUUUAUGAAUAAGGAUCGGCUAACUCCGUGCCAGCAGCCGCGGUAAUACGGAGGAUCCGAGCGUUAUCCGGAUUUAUUGGGUUUAAAGGGAGCGUAGAUGGGUUGUUAAGUCAGUUGUGAAAGUUUGCGGCUCAACCGUAAAAUUGCAAUUGAUAAUGGCAGCCUUGAGUACAGUUGAGGUAGGCGGAAUUCGUGGUGUAGCGGUGAAAUGCUUAGAUAUCACGAAGAACUCCGAUUGCGAAGGCAGCUUACUAAACUAUAACUGACACUGAAGCACGAAAGCGUGGGGAUCAAACAGGAUUAGAUACCCUUGUAGUC